rnacentral:rRNA from 1 species
AGUGAACGCUGGCGGUAGGCCUAACACAUGCAAGUCGAACGGCAGCACAGUAAGAUCUUGCUCUUACGGGUGGCGAGUGGCGGACGGGUGAGGAAUACAUCGGAAUCUACUUUUUCGUGGGGGAUAACGUAGGGAAACUUACGCUAAUACCGCAUACGACCUACGGGUGAAAGCAGGGGAUCUUCGGACCUUGCGCGAUUGAAUGAGCCGAUGUCGGAUUAGCUAGUUGGCGGGGUAAAGGCCCACCAAGGCGACGAUCCGUAGCUGGUCUGAGAGGAUGAUCAGCCACACUGGAACUGAGACACGGUCCAGACUCCUACGGGAGGCAGCAGUGGGGAAUAUUGGACAAUGGGCGCAAGCCUGAUCUAGCCAUACCGCGUGGGUGAAGAAGGCCUUCGGGUUGUAAAGCCCUUUUGUUGGGAAAGAAAAGCAGCAGGUUAAUACCCCGCUGUUCUGACGGUACCCAAAGAAUAAGCACCGGCUAACUUCGUG